ACCCACUGGGGGCCGUCCGGGCGGCCCGACGGCUCCAUGCCGUUCGCGGCCUUCGUGCUCGUUCUGGUCGUGCUGUGGGUC
rnacentral:tRNA from 1 species